rnacentral:rRNA from 1 species
CUUUGAUCCUGGCUCAGGAUGAACGCUAGCUACAGGCUUAACACAUGCAAGUCGAGGGGAAACGACAUCGAAAGCUUGCUUUUGAUGGGCGUCGACCGGCGCACGGGUGAGUAACGCGUAUCCAACCUGCCCACCACUUGGGGAUAACCUUGCGAAAGUAAGACUAAUACCCAAUGAUAUCUCUAGAAGGCAUCAGAAAGAGAUUAAAGAUUUAUCGGUGAUGGAUGGGGAUGCGUCUGAUUAGCUUGUUGGCGGGGUAACGGCCCACCAAGGCUACGAUCAGUAGGGGUUCUGAGAGGAAGGUCCCCCACAUUGGAACUGAGACACGGUCCAAACUCCUACGGGAGGCAGCAGUGAGGAAUAUUGGUCAAUGGACGAGAGUCUGAACCAGCCAAGUAGCGUGCAGGAUGACGGCCCUAUGGGUUGUAAACUGCUUUUAUAAGGGAAUAAAGUGAGUCUCGUGAGACUUUUUGCAUGUACCUUAUGAAUAAGGACCGGCUAAUUCCGUGCCAGCAGCCGCGGUAAUACGGAAGGUCCGGGCGUUAUCCGGAUUUAUUGGGUUUAAAGGGAGCGUAGGCCGGAGAUUAAGCGUGUUGUGAAAUGUAGAUGCUCAACAUCUGCACUGCAGCGCGAACUGGUUUCCUUGAGUACGCACAAAGUGGGCGGAAUUCGUGGUGUAGCGGUGAAAUGCUUAGAUAUCACGAAGAACUCCGAUUGCGAAGGCAGCUCACUGGAGCGCAACUGACGCUGAAGCUCGAAAGUGCGGGUAUCGAACAGGAUUAGAUACCCUGGUAGUCCGCACGGUAAACGAUGGAUGCCCGCUGUUGGUCUGAAUAGGUCAGCGGCCAAGCGAAAGCAUUAAGCAUCCCACCUGGGGAGUACGCCGGCAACGGUGCAACUCAAAUGAAUUGACGGA